rnacentral:rRNA from 1 species
AUUGUGCUUGCACAGAUGACGACCGGCGCACGGGUGCGUAACGCGUAUAGAACCUACCUUUUACAGAGGAAUAGCCUUUAGAAAUGAAGAUUAAUGCCUCAUAGUAUUGUAGACUGGCAUCAGUUUAUAAUUAAAGAUUUAUCGGUAAAAGAUGGCUAUGCGUCCUAUUAGUUAGUUGGUAAGGUAACGGCUUACCAAGACAGCGAUAGGUAGGGGUCCUGAGAGGGAGAUCCCCCACACUGGUACUGAGACACGGACCAGACUCCUACGGGAGGCAGCAGUGAGGAAUAUUGGACAAUGGAGGAGACUCUGAUCCAGCCAUGCCGCGUGUAGGAAGAAUGCCCUAUGGGUUGUAAACUACUUUUAUACAGGAAGAAACACUGGUAUGUAUACCAGCUUGACGGUACUGUAAGAAUAAGGACCGGCUAACUCCGUGCCAGCAGCCGCGGUAAUACGGAGGGUCCGA